GACGAACGCUGGUUGCGUGCUUAACACAUGCAAGUCGAACGGAAAGGCCCUGCUUUUGUGGGGUGCUCGAGUGGCGAACGGGUGAGUAACACGUGAGUAACCUGCCCUUGACUUUGGGAUAACUUCAGGAAACUGGGGCUAAUACCGGAUAGGAGCUCCUGCUGCAUGGUGGGGGUUGGAAAGUUUCGGCGGUUGGGGAUGGACUCGCGGCUUAUCAGCUUGUUGGUGGGGUAGUGGCUUACCAAGGCUUUGACGGGUAGCCGGCCUGAGAGGGUGACCGGCCACAUUGGGACUGAGAUACGGCCCAGACUCCUACGGGAGGCAGCAGUGGGGAAUAUUGCACAAUGGGCGGAAGCCUGAUGCAGCAACGCCGCGUGCGGGAUGACGGCCUUCGGGUUGUAAACCGCUUUCGCCUGUGACGAAGCGUGAGUGACGGUAAUGGGUAAAGAAGCACCGGCUAACUACGUGCCAGCAGCCGCGGUGAUACGUAGGGUGCGAGCGUUGUCCGGAUUUAUUGGGCGUAAAGGGCUCGUAGGUGGUUGAUCGCGUCGGAAGUGUAAUCUUGGGGCUUAACCCUGAGCGUGCUUUCGAUACGGGUUGACUUGAGGAAGGUAGGGGAGAAUGGAAUUCCUGGUGGAGCGGUGGAAUGCGCAGAUAUCAGGAGGAACACCAGUGGCGAAGGCGGUUCUCUGGGCCUUUCCUGACGCUGAGGAGCGAAGGCGUGGGGAGCGAACAGGCUUAGAUACCCUGGUAGUCCACGCUGUAAACGGUGGGUACUAGGUGUGGGGUCCAUUCCACGGGUUCCGUGCCGUAGCUAACGCUUUAAGUACCCCGCCUGGGGAGUACGGCCGCAAGGCUAAAACUCAAAGGAAUUGACGGGGCCCCGCACAAGCGGCGGAGCAUGCGGAUUAAUUCGAUGCAACGCGUAGAACCUUACCUGGGUUUGACAUGGAUCGGGAGCGCUCAGAGAUGGGUGUGCCUCUUUUGGGGUCGGUUCACAGGUGGUGCAUGGCUGUCGUCAGCUCGUGUCGUGAGAUGUUGGGUUAAGUCCCGCAACGAGCGCAACCCUUGUUCACUGUUGCCAGCACGUUAUGGUGGGGACUCAGUGGAGACCGCCGGGGUCAACUCGGAGGAAGGUGGGGAUGACGUCAAGUCAUCAUGCCCCUUAUGUCCAGGGCUUCACGCAUGCUACAAUGGCUGGUACAGAGAGUGGCGAGCCUGUGAGGGUGAGCGAAUCUCGGAAAGCCGGUCUCAGUUCGGAUUGGGGUCUGCAACUCGACCUCAUGAAGUCGGAGUCGCUAGUAAUCGCAGAUCAGCAACGCUGCGGUGAAUACGUUCCCGGG
rnacentral:rRNA from 1 species